rnacentral:rRNA from 1 species
UACGUAGGUGGCAAGCGUUGUUCGGAAUUAUUGGGCGUAAAGGGCGCGUAGGCGGUUUGUUAAGUCGGCUGUGAAGGCCCGGGGCUCAACCCCGGAGGGUCAGCCGAUACUGGCAGGCUAGAGUACGGAAUAGGUAGCUGGAAUUCCCGGUGUAGCGGUGAAAUGCGUAGAUAUGUCAUAGAACACCGAUAGCGAAGGCAGCUCACUAGGUCUGGAUUGACGCUCAGGGACGAAAGCGUGGGGAGCAAGCAGG